GUGGAGGGCCGGAUGGCCGCUUGGCCUGGGGAACCCGGCCCAGAGGAAAGUCCGGACUCCGUGAAGCAACGGUGCCGGGUAACACCCGGGCGGGGCAACCCGACGGAAAGCGCCACAGAAAUCAAACCACCCCGAUGUAUGUCGGGGCCAGGGUGAAACGGUGGGGUAAGAGCCCACCGCCGGACUGGCAACAGGACGGGCACGGCAAGCCCCACCGGGAGCAAUGCCAAAUAGGGACCGCGCGCCGCCAUCCUUCGGGCUGGGGGCGGGGCCGCUUCAGCCCCAGCAGGUCCGGGUCGGCAGCUAGAGGUGUCGGAGCAAUCCGACAUCAAGAGGAAUGGUCAUCUCGGGUGGUUCUUCGGAGCCAUCUCAGACAGAAUCCGGCUUACAGGCCCUCCACGCGC
rnacentral:RNase_P_RNA from 1 species